rnacentral:rRNA from 1 species
CGGGAAAAGCUCAAAUUUAAAAUCUGAUAGUCUUUGACUAUCCGAAUUGUAAUCUAGAGAAGCAUUAUCCGCGCUGGACCAUGUAUAAGUCUCCUGGAAUGGAGCAUCAUAGAGGGUGAGAAUCCCGUCUUUGACAUGGAUUACCAGGGCUUUGUGAUACGCUCUCAAA